UGAACGCUGGCGGCGUGCCUAAUACAUGCAAGUCGAGCGAACAGACGAGGAGCUUGCUCCUCUGACGUUAGCGGCGGACGGGUGAGUAACACGUGGAUAACCUACCUAUAAGACUGGGAUAACUGCGGGAAACCGGAGCUAAUACCGGAUAAUAUAUUGAACCGCAUGGUUCAAUAGUGAAAGACGGUUUUGCUGUCACUUAUAGAUGGAUCCGCGCCGCAUUAGCUAGUUGGUAAGGUAACGGCUUACCAAGGCAACGAUGCGUAGCCGACCUGAGAGGGUGAUCGGCACCACUGGAACUGAGACACGGUCCAGACUCCUACGGGAGUCAGCAGUAGGGAAUCUUCCGCAAUGGGCGAAAGCCUGACGGAGCAACGCCGCGUGAGUGAUGAAGGUCUUCGGAUCGUAAAACUCUGUUAUUAGGGAAGAACAAAUGUGUAAGUAACUAUGCACGUCUUGACGGUACCUAAUCAGAAAGCCACGGCUAACUACGUG
rnacentral:rRNA from 1 species